GACGAACGCUGGCGGCGUGCUUAACACAUGCAAGUCGAACGGAAAGGCCCUGCUUUUGUGGGGUGCUCGAGUGGCGAACGGGUGAGUAACACGUGAGUAACCUGCCCUUGACUUUGGGAUAACUUCAGGAAACUGGGGCUAAUACCGGAUAGGAGCUCCUGCUGCAUGGUGGGGGUUGGAAAGUUUCGGCGGUUGGGGAUGGACUCGCGGCUUAUCAGCUUGUUGGUGGGGUAGCGGCUUACCAAGGCUUUGACGGGUAGCCGGCCUGAGAGGGUGACCGGCCACAUUGGGACUGAGAUACGGCCCAGACUCCUACGGGAGGCAGCAGUGGGGAAUAUUGCACAAUGGGCGGAAGCCUGAUGCAGCAACGCCGCGUGCGGGAUGACGGCCUUCGGGUUGUAAACCGCUUUCGCCUGCGACGAAGCGUGAGUGACGGUAAUGGGUAAAGAAGCACCGGCUAACUACGUG
rnacentral:rRNA from 1 species